rnacentral:rRNA from 1 species
AACGAACGCUGGCGGCAGGCCUCAAACAUGCAAGUCUAGGGGGUGUAGCAAUACAUCACCGGCGGACGGGUGCGUAACGCGUGGGAAUAUACCUAUCGAUUCGGAACAACUGAGGGAAACUUCAGCUAAUACCGAAUACGUCCUAACGGAGAAAGAUUUAUCGUCGAUAGAUUAGCCCGCGUUCGAUUAGCUAGUUGGUGGGGUAACGGCCCACCAAGGCGACGAUCGAUAGCUGUUCUGAGAGGAAGAUCAGCCACACUGGGACUGAGACACGGCCCAGACUCCUACGGGAGGCAGCAGUUGGGAAUCUUGGACAAUGGGGGAAACCCUGAUCCAGCCAUGCCGCGUGAGUGAUGAAGGCCUUCGGGUUGGUAAAACGUACUUUCGUCGCACGACGAUAAUGACGGUAGUGCGAGAAGAAGCUCCGGCUAACUUCGUGCCAGCAGCCGCGGUAAU